CUCAACUUUUCUACGCUGAAAACCAAUCAUCGUGUUACAUCAAUCUUCUCCCUAGGCAUCCCAGAAGAAGCUGGCCUACCAUUUCGAUCGCAGUUUCUUAUCUACCUUCCGCGGAUUCGUCUUAUUGUACUUCUUACCUGUUAGCCGGUGUCCGAUCAGAUAGCGCUAAAUCGUCUGCCGAGCAGCGUCCCUUCUUACGUGCUGUGUCAACAACGGGAGAUUCCGGUCAUAGUUGCCAUUUGUUCGACCUAUCGAUCCAUCAACCACUUCGAUCUGCCAAACUCCCGAACCAAUAAUUCAGUCCCGGUCAACUCUACUCUCUUCCAUUGAACUUCAUUUCGUCCGCAACUCGUCUUCCUUUUUCCCUCUACACUUCCACUCUGGUACAACGAUCACAGUGGCUGAACAGUUUCCACUAGAAGGUCCAUACGAGGUCGUUUGUUUCCUGAAAUCUCGCUCGAAAGCGCCAGUCCUUUGUGUCUCGACGCCUUUGUCUCGCACAAACGACAAAAACUAAUGGUCCAUUUCGAACAAGCCGCCUCUUAACCAACAAACGAAGCGACAAAUUUUCACGAUAUAUUUCUUCCCCUUUGUUCUCCGAUUUCUAAUGCACACGAUCUGAGCAACAGUUUCGAUAAGACUCGAUCUAACGUCGAAGGAAUGGAUGCGUCGCGUUGGCCGGGUUGCCGGUCUGGAAG
rnacentral:misc_RNA from 1 species